rfam:Ictidomys tridecemlineatus contig099693, whole genome shotgun sequence.
UGGGCUGUGGCUCAGCAGUAGAGCACUCGUCUAGCACGUGUGAGGCCCUGGGUUCGAUCCUCAGCACCACAU